rnacentral:rRNA from 1 species
UGCAGUCAGCGUACACAGAGAGCUUGCUCUCGGUGACGAAGCGGCGGACGGGUGAGUAAUGUCUGGGAAACUGCCUGAUGGAGGGGGAUAACUACUGGAAACGGUAGCUAAUACCGCCAUAACGUCGCAAGACCAAAGUGGGGGACCUUCGGGCCUCAUGCCAUCAGAUGUGCCCAGAUGGGAUUAGCUAGUAGGUGGGGUAAUGGCUCACCUAGGCGACGAUCCCUAGCUGGUCUGAGAGGAUGACCAGCCACACUGGAACUGAGACACGGUCCAGACUCCUACGGGAGGCAGCAGUGGGGAAUAUUGCACAAUGGGCGCAAGCCUGAUGCAGCCAUGCCGCGUGUAUGAAGAAGGCCUUCGGGUUGUAAAGUACUUUCAGCGAGGAGGAAGGCGUUAAGGUUAAUAACCUUGGUGAUUGACGUUCCUCGCAGAAGAAGCACCGGCUAACUCCGUGCCAGCAGCCGCGGUAAUACGGAGGGUUGCCAAGCGUUAAUCGGAAUUACUGGGCGUAAGCGCACGCAGGCGGUCUGUCAAGUCGGAUGUAACCUGGGACUGAUUCGAACU